UACGGAGGGGGCUAGCGUUGUUCGGAAUUACUGGGCGUAAAGCGUACGUAGGCGGCUUUGUAAGUUAGAGGUGAAAGCCCAGGGCUCAACCCUGGAACUGCCUUUAAGACUGCAGAGCUUGAAUCACGGAGAGGUCAGUGGAAUUCCGAGUGUAGAGGUGAAAUUCGUAGAUAUUCGGAAGAACACCAGUGGCGAAGGCGGCUGACUGGACGUGUAUUGACGCUGAGGUACGAAAGCGUGGGGAGCAAACAGG
rnacentral:rRNA from 1 species